GGAUGCGAUCGUACCAGCACUAACGCACCGGAUCCCAUCAGAACUCCGAAGUUAAGCGUGCUUGGGCGAGAGUAGUACUAGGAUGGGUGACCCCAUGGGAAGUGCUCGUGUUGCAUCCC
rfam:Nicotiana attenuata strain TT chromosome 12, whole genome shotgun sequence.